rnacentral:tRNA from 1 species
GGAAGGGUGGCAGAGCGGUUGAAUGCACCGGUCUUGAAAACCGGCGAUGGGAAACCAUCCGUGGGUUCAAAUCCCACCCCUUCCGCCA